rnacentral:rRNA from 1 species
CCUACGGGUGGCAGCAGUGGGGAAUAUUGCACAAUGGGGGAAACCCUGAUGCAGCGACGCCGCGUGAGUGAAGAAGUAUCUCGGUAUGUAAAGCUCUGUCAGCAGGGAAGAAAAUGACGGUACCUGACCAAGAAGCUCCGGCGAACUACGUGCCAGCAGCCGCGGUAAUACGUAGGGGGCAAGCGUUAUCCGGAUUUACUGGGUGUAAAGGGAGCGUAGGCGGCAGGGCAAGUCUGGAGUGAAAGGCGGGGGCUCAACCCCCGGACUGCUUUGGAAACUGGCAGGCUGGAGUGCAGGAGAGGUAAGUGGAAUUCCUGGUGUAGCGGUGAAAUGCGUAGAUAUUAGGAAGAACACCAGUGGCGAAGGCGGCUUACUGGACUGUUACUGACGUUGAGGCUCGAAGGCGUGGGGAGCGAACAGGAUUAGAUACCCUAGUAGUC